AGUGAACGCUGGCGGUAGGCCUAACACAUGCAAGUCGAACGGCAGCACAGUAAGAGCUUGCUCUUACGGGUGGCGAGUGGCGGACGGGUGAGGAAUACAUCGGAAUCUACUUUUUCGUGGGGGAUAGCGUAGGGAAACUUACGCUAAUACCGCAUACGACCUACGGGUGAAAGCAGGGGAUCUUCGGACCUUGCGCGAUUGAAUGAGCCGAUGUCGGAUUAGCUAGUUGGCGGGGUAAAGGCCCACCAAGGCGACGAUCCGUAGCUGGUCUGAGAGGAUGAUCAGCCACACUGGAACUGAGACACGGUCCAGACUCCUACGGGAGGCAGCAGUGGGGAAUAUUGGACAAUGGGCGCAAGCCUGAUCCAGCCAUACCGCGUGGGUGAAGAAGGCCUUCGGGUUGUAAAGCCCUUUUGUUGGGAAAGAAAAGCAGCAGGUUAAUACCCCGCUGUUCCGACGGUACCCAAAGAAUAAGCACCGGCUAACUUCGUG
rnacentral:rRNA from 1 species